UGCAGGCUCCACGGAAGAAGGUGUUAAAAGGAAAUGCUAUAAAUCAAAAAUACUGUAAUAGAAAUAAAAAAUACCUUUUAUGGGCUCAUCAAUA